rnacentral:rRNA from 1 species
GUCGAUCGGGUAGCUUUACCUGCAGUCGACGGCAGCGCGAGAGAGCUUGCUCUCUUGGCGGCGAGUGGCGGACGGGUGAGUAAUAUAUCGGAACGUGCCCAGUAGCGGGGGAUAACUACUCGAAAGAGUGGCUAAUACCGCAUACGCCCUACGGGGGAAAGGGGGGGAUCGCAAGACCUCUCACUAUUGGAGCGGCCGAUAUCGGAUUAGCUAGUUGGUGGGGUAAAGGCUCACCAAGGCAACGAUCCGUAGCUGGUUUGAGAGGACGACCAGCCACACUGGGACUGAGACACGGCCCAGACUCCUACGGGAGGCAGCAGUGGGGAAUUUUGGACAAUGGGGGAAACCCUGAUCCAGCCAUCCCGCGUGUAUGAUGAAGGCCUUCGGGUUGUAAAGUACUUUUGGCAGAGAAGAAAAGGUACCUCCUAAUACGAGGUACUGCUGACGGUAUCUGCAGAAUAAGCACCGGCUAACUACGUGCCAGCAGCCGCGGUAAUACGUAGGGUGCAAGCGUUAAUC